rnacentral:lncRNA from 1 species
GUUAUUGUGGCCACGCGCGGGCUGUAGGUUUAAACAGCUAUAAAAAUGAAUUACAGCCGAGAGCCUAAAAUAGCCAUUGCUUUGGCCGGGAAUCCCCAGUACCCUCCAAAUGCGUUACAGGGUUUUAUUUGUAUAUAGGCCUCGGCAAUUGAUCUCUUUGUUGGCAUUCUCAUUCAUGAAAGAAUUUGAUUUAUGACUUCGAGGGGAAUUUCGUCCAGA